GAUGCUCCGCAAUCAUGCUGCAAUGCUUUGAGCUGCUGUCAUCUUAGCCGUUCUUUCACUAGAGACUCCCAGCCCCAGAGCAAAGUCAGAGUGAGGAAAUGCGGCCCCACAUCUCAGCUGCUUCUGGGCAAACUCCGAGGUAUGUGCUGAAACCAAGGCCAUGGUGGUUUGCAGGCUGUCUAUGCACRGACGCUCAAAUAAACCCCAAUUCUGCAAGCACUUAACCAGCAAGCAUCGCAAACAGCAGUGAGGCCAUGCAGGAUCACGAGCAUAUGAGCGCCAGGUGACAGCAAGAUUUUGUUAUAGGCUGCUCUAGGCAUCCAGCACACCAGAGCCCUGACCCCUGACUGGACUUUCUGGGGAUGACUAUAAAAUGAACAGCGCAGAGCGCUCGGGACCCAGGCUUUCAAAUGGCAGGACUCCCCUUCGACGCGUACACUUCUGCGCAAGCAACAGUUUCGCUUGUGCAUGGGCAGGCAAGCAGGGGAGACAGGAAAGGCACUGGCUAAAAACAGUGCAGACUGAGGUCUGGCAGGGAAGGAGACCAGCGCAGACGGAUGGACAAAGACUCUGGACAGACCAAGCUUCCUGCAGGACUGAGUGGGUGGUGAUGGCCUUGUCCACGGAGAAGGAAUCUGAACUGCAGAGACUACUCAUAGUAAUGGUGAUUACUAUUAAAGCUCAGAGCUUUUCAUUACUGAAAACUUCAAAAAACUGUCCUGAACUAUAUUUGAGACAUGGUUUUUUCAUGUUAACUCGAGGUUUGAUUGCUGGAAAAGGUGGACUGCUAGAAAAAGAAAACCAGUGCGCUGCACAGCAGUUGGGAAUCGAAGCCCUUCUUUACCAGAACCCCUGCCAUAUACGUACUGUCACUCACCUUCCAGACACUCAGUACAACCAUUCAAUCUAUUGA
rnacentral:lncRNA from 1 species